rnacentral:rRNA from 1 species
AGGACGAACGCUGGCGGCGCGCUUAACACAUGCAAGUCGAGCGAGAACCGGGGCUUCGGCCCUGGGGACAGCGGCGAACGGGUGAGUAACACGUGGGUAAUCAACCCUCGGCACCGGGAUAGCCCGAGGAAACUCGGAUUAAUACCGGAUAGCCCCUCCGACUCUCGAGUCGGUCGGGAAAGGUAGCUUAGGCCUCUGGCCGGGGACGAGCCCGCGGCGGAUUAGCUUGUUGGUGGGGUAAUGGCCUACCAAGGCGACGAUCCGUAGCUGGUCUGAGAGGACGAUCAGCCACACUGGGACUGAGACACGGCCCAGACUCCUACGGGAGGCAGCAGUGGGGAAUCUUGCGCAAUGGGCGAAAGCCUGACGCAGCGACGCCGCGUGAGGGAAGAAGGCCUUCGGGUUGUAAACCCUUUCAGGAGGACGAAGGUUCGGCGGUGAUAGCCGUCCGGACUGACGGUACCUCCACAAGAAGCCCGGCUAACUACGUGCCAGCACGCCGC